AUUGAACGCUGGCGGCAGGCCUAACACAUGCAAGUCGAGCGGAUGAAGGGAGCUUGCUCCUGGUUUCAGCGGCGGACGGGUGAGUAAUGCCUAGGAAUCUGCCUGGUAGUGGGGGAUAACGUCCGGAAACGGGCGCUAAUACCGCAUACGUCCUGAGGGAGAAAGUGGGGGAUCUUCGGACCUCACGCUAUCAGAUGAGCCUAGGUCGGAUUAGCUAGUUGGUGGGGUAAAGGCCUACCAAGGCGACGAUCCGUAACUGGUCUGAGAGGAUGAUCAGUCACACUGGAACUGAGACACGGUCCAGACUCCUACGGGAGGCAGCAGUGGGGAAUAUUGGACAAUGGGCGAAAGCCUGAUCCAGCCAUGCCGCGUGUGUGAAGAAGGUCUUGGAUUGUAAAGCACUUUAAGUUGGGAGGAAGGGCAGUAAGUUAAUACCUUGCUGUCUUGACGUUACCAACAGAAUAAGCACCGGCUAACUUCGUG
rnacentral:rRNA from 1 species